rnacentral:rRNA from 1 species
UACGUAGGGGGCAAGCGUUAUCCGGAGUUACUGGGUGUAAAGGGAGCGUAGACGGUAAUGUAAGUCUGGAGUGAAAGGCGGGGGCCCAACCCCCGGACUGCUCUGGAAACUAUGUUACUAGAGUGCAGGAGAGGUAAGCGGAAUUCCUAGUGUAGCGGUGAAAUGCGUAGAUAUUAGGAGGAACACCAGUGGCGAAGGCGGCUUACUGGACUGUAACUGACGUUGAGGCUCGAAAGCGUGGGGAGCAAACAGG